AGCGGCAGACGGGUGAGUAACGCGUAGGUAUCUACCCCACAGUGGGGAAUAGCCCUCCGAAAGGGGGUGUAAUUCCGCAUGGUUCCCGGUGUUAAAACCGGGAUAAAGACUUCGGUCGCUGAGGGAGGAGCCUGCGUGCUAUCAGCUAGUUGGUGAGGUAAUGGCUCACCAAGGCUAUGACGGCUAGGGGGUGUGAGAGCAUGACCCCCCACAAGGUCACUGAGACACGGGGCCUACACCUACGGGUGGCAGCAACUAAGAAUCUUCCGCAAUGGGGGAAACCCUGACGGAGCGACACCGCGUGUGGGAAGAAGCAUUUCGGUGUGUAAACCACUGUGGCAGGGGAAGAAUUUUGACGGUACCCUGCUAGAAAGCACCUGCUAACUACGUGCCAGAAGCCUCGGUAAUACGUAGGGUGCAAGCGUUAUCCGGAUUUAUUGGGCGUAAAGCGUUCGUAGGUGGAUUAGUAAGUGAUGGGUUAAAACCCUGGGCCCAACUCAGGAAGUGCUCAUCAUACUGCUAGUCUUGAAUUAGUUCGGGGAGGUUGGAAUUCUCGGUGGAGGGGUGAAAUCCGUUGAUAUCGAGAGGAACGCCAAGGGUGAAGACAGGCCUCUAGGACUAUUAUUGACACUGAGGGACGAAAGCUAGGGUAGCAAAGCGGAUUAGAGACCCGUGUAGUCCUAGCCGUAAACGAUGAAUACUAGAUGGCUGACCUUCGGGUUGGCUGUCGUAAGCUAACGCGUUAA
rnacentral:rRNA from 1 species